rnacentral:rRNA from 1 species
UACGGGGGGGGGUAAGCGUUGUUCGGAAUUACUGGGCGUAAAGGGCUCGUAGGCGGCCAACUAAGUCAGACGUGAAAUCCCUCAGCUUAACUGGGGAACUGCGUCUGAUACUGGAUGGCUUGGAUUCGGGAGAGGAAUGCGGAAUUCCAGGUGUAGCGGUGAAAUGCGUAGAUAUCUGGAGGAACACCGGUGGCGAAGGCGGCAUCCUGGACCACGACUGACGCUGAGGAGCGAAAGCCAGGGGAGCAAACGGG